AGUCAGACAUCUGUUUAGACACCAAAAUCAUUAUUUGUUUUCAUUCAUCUCAUUGGCCGUGUAGUUCAUGUCUAUGCCUCAUCCCGUUAUGCAUAGGCGCCCGAACAUGAUGGCAACGCUGGAAAUGUUUAUUUCGAGCGUCUUUUUUUG
rnacentral:misc_RNA from 1 species